GGACGAACGCUGGCGGCGUGCUUAACACAUGCAAGUCGAGCGGUAAGGCCCUUUCGGGGGUACACGAGCGGCGAACGGGUGAGUAACACGUGGGUGACCUGCCCUCAGCUCUGGGAUAAGCCUGGGAAACCGGGUCUAAUACCGGAUAUGACUCCAUGACGCAUGUUGUGGGGUGGAAAGCCUUGUGCGGCUGAGGAUGGGCCCGCGGCCUAUCAGCUUGGUUGGUGGGGUGANGGCCUACCAAGGCGACGACGGGUAGCCGGCCUGAGAGGGCGACCGGCCACACUGGGACUGAGACACGGCCCAGACUCCUACGGGAGGCAGCAGUGGGGAAUCUUGCGCAAUGGGCGAAAGCCUGACGCAGCGACGCCGCGUGAGGGAUGGACGG
rnacentral:rRNA from 1 species